UGGGAGCUUGUCCUUCAGCAAUGUAUUGU
rnacentral:piRNA from 1 species